UAUCCAUCCCUGAACUCCAGGAUUAUCAGCUGGAGUCAUAGCAAGAGUUGCUGGGGUGCUGUUAUUGGCAGUUUGCAUAUAUGUUGGAGUUUACAAGAAGAAGAAAGUGCAGGACAAAAUAUUGCUUUCUGCAAGAUCUGAACAUCAAUCAAUUCAAGCUGCAAGGGGUAGGACCUGCUCCUGCUCUAAUUAAGGCUGAGGUGCCAUGGUCAGCUCGAAGGGGAACCUUCUCUAAUAAGGAUCGUGUUUUGAAGACAGUGAAAGGGUAAUUUAUUCUGAAGAUAUUUGUAUGAUUUCCUGACACCUGUGCAAUCAAGUGAUUAUCACUUGCUAUAUUGUAUGGAUCCUUUGAAUGUUUAGU